AUUGAACGCUGGCGGCAGGCCUAACACAUGCAAGUCGAACGGUAACAGGAAGAAGCUUGCUUCUUUGCUGACGAGUGGCGGACGGGUGAGUAAUGUCUGGGAAACUGCCUGAUGGAGGGGGAUAACUACUGGAAACGGUAGCUAAUACCGCAUAACGUCGCAAGACCAAAGAGGGGGACCUUCGGGCCUCUUGCCAUCGGAUGUGCCCAGAUGGGAUUAGCUAGUAGGUGGGGUAACGGCUCACCUAGGCGACGAUCCCUAGCUGGUCUGAGAGGAUGACCAGCCACACUGGAACUGAGACACGGUCCAGACUCCUACGGGAGGCAGCAGUGGGGAAUAUUGCACAAUGGGCGCAAGCCUGAUGCAGCCAUGCCGCGUGUAUGAAGAAGGCUUUCGGGUUGUAAAGUACUUUCAGCGGGGAGGAAGGGAGUAAAGUUAAUACCUUUGCUCAUUGACGUUACCCGCAGAAGAAGCACCGGCUAACUCCGUG
rnacentral:rRNA from 1 species